GUGCGAGCGUGCGUGUGUGAGCGUGGGUGUGUACGUGCGUGUACGUGCAUGUUUCAAUGGAAGGGAGUGUUUUGGGCAUUACUCUUCUCCCUAUCGAUGGAGAAACACAGAAGAAGAGAAAGGAGGAUGAAGGGUAACAUGAGGAGGAUGAAGGGGAACAUGAGGAGGAUGAAGGUAACAUGAGGAGGAUGAAGGUAACAUGAGGAGGAUGAAGGGUAACAUGAGGAGGAUGAAGGUAACAUGAGGAGGAUGAAGGGUAACAUGAGGAGGAUGAAGGGGAACAUGAGGAGGAUGAAGGGGAACAUGAGGAGGAUGAAGGGUAACAUGAGGAGGAUGAAGGAUAACAUGAGGAGGAUGAAGGUAACAUGAGGAGGAUGAAGGUAACAUGAGGAGGAUGAAGGUAACAUGAGGAGGAUGAAGGGGAACAUGAGGAGGAUGAAGGUAACAUGAGGAGGAUGAAGGUAACAUGAGGAGGAUGAAGGUAACAUGAGGAGGAUGAAGGGUAACAUGAGGAGGAUGAAGGAUAACAUGAGGAGGAUGAAGGGGGACAUGAGGAGGAUGAAGGUAACAUGAGGAGGAUGAAGGGGAACUUGAGGAGGAUGAAGGUAACAUGAGGAGGAUGAAGGUAACAUGAGGAGGAUGAAGGGGAACAUGAGGAGGAUGAAGGUAACAUGAGGAGGAUGAAGGGUAACAUGAGGAGGAUGAAGGGUAACAUGAGGAGGAUGAAGGUAACAUGAGGAGGAUGAAGGUAACAUGAGGAGGAUGAAGGGGAACAUGAGGAGGAUGAAGGUAACAUGAGGAGGAUGAAGGGUAACAUGAGGAGGAUGAAGGAUAACAUGAGGAGGAUGAAGGGGGACAUGAGGAGGAUGAAGGUAACAUGAGGAGGAUGAAGGGGAACUUGAGGAGGAUGAAGGUAACAUG
rnacentral:lncRNA from 1 species